GCCCCUAUGGCGUAGUGGUAGCGCGUGUCACUUGUACCAGUUGCAAGAAUAUGACAAGGUCUCUCGUUCGAUCCGGGAUGGGGGCA